GUGUGUAGGUGCAGAGGUGUAGUGUUAUGUAUGGGGGUAUAGUGUGUAGGUGCAGAGGUGUAGUGUUAUGUAUGGGGAUAUAGUGUGUGUAGGUGCAGGGGGUGUAGUGUUAUGUAUAGGGGUAUAGUGUGUGUGUAGGUGCAGGGGGUGUAGUGUUAUGUAUAGGGGUAUAGUGUGUGUGUAGGUGCAGAGGUGUAGUGUUAUGUAUGGGGGUAUAGUGUGUAGGUGCAGAGGUGUAGUGUUAUGUAUGGGGAUAUAGUGUGUGUAGGUGCAGGGGGUGUAGUGUUAUGUAUAGGGGUAUAGUGU